GUCAUUACAUUCAGUUCAGAUCCGAUACUCGUCCAGAGCAGACAUAGAACUCUCCGCUCUCUCUCUCUUACUUUUAAACUCCAACUCAAAUCUAACCUCCAGAAUGUCCGGACACCCAGCAACCCUUGUCCUUCCCACCGACGGCACAGGAAAGAUCUGAACUCCGUUCCCAACGGAGAUAUCCCACAAUGGGCUCGAGCAGAAACAUAAAGCAACGAACAAGCGAGAGAUGGCGGGGGAAAGAGAGGGGAAAAUAUUUAGUAUUUAUUUAAUUCCAUUUUCAUGUUGGACCCCUCCCUUGCUGUCUAGGGGGGAGGGGGCCAACCUUAAACUCUCUCUCUCACCUCUCACUAGAUUAGUUUUAAUGGCUGGCGACCACUGAAGUACACAGGCUCCUCAAAGAAUCAUGUCAUCAGCUCGAUCAGCUCGAUCAGCUCGAUCAGCUUGAUAAACUUGAUAAAUUAUAAAAAUUAUUAUCAGCUCUUCCCCUGUCCCGUUUAUCUCUUCAACUGGUUAUGACAGACUAAAUCUCUUCAUAUCUGUUCUGCUUAUCAGUCCAUCAGUUCCUUUACCAUCAGCUCACCAGUCUUUCAACAAAUCAAUUCAUCAGCUUUGCUCAGAUUUUUAUCAGCUCAUCGAAAAAUCAGCUCUGCGAGAAGCUUAUCGCCCUUCAAAAUGUCAGCUCUGCUCAUCAGUUCAUCAGCUCAUUAAGAAAACAACUCAACUCAACAAUUAUUCAGCUCAGCUCAUCCUUUUAUCAGCUCAGCUCAUCCUGUUAUCAGCUCAGCUCAUCCUAUUUUAUCAGCUCAUCAGUCUCGGUGGCUCGUCAGCUCCUCGUGCUUCCAUGGUCUUUUCAUUAGUAAAGUUUUAAAACUUUGCAUUUUUAGCCAUAUUUUAGCCAAUUUUAGUCAAUUUUUUGCAAUUUUUUUCCAAUCCAAGAUGAUACUAAUGAGAAGACCAGUUUAGAAUCUCAAAUCUGUUUAUCUAAUAGUUUUAUCAUUUGUAUCUGUUAUUUUUUUAUCCGGCAAAGGGCGAGAUUUUUGUUAGCUCAGAAUUAUUUUGAAUUGAAGUUUAUAAUGCUGGUAGGUUGCGUAUAGUGUAUAGUGUAGUAUAUAUAUAUACGUGACUAUAAACCAGCUGAAGGUAAAGUUCAAUGAACCACUGUUCACUGAAUAGGGGCUAAAACAUAGAACCAAAAAUUAUAAGUGUUAAACAGGAAAAUUGGCCAGCAAUAGCAAAUUUUAAAAAAGCUUUAAAACCAGGAAUAAACUUGUUCUCUGGAGGUGUCAAAUGCAAUGUAAGUUAAAAACCUAACAUUACGCUCAAUCUAAUAUAUAUAUAAAUAUUCUAUAUUAUAUUCUGUAUUUCAAAAAGAAA